ACGGAAGGCAGCAGUGGGGAAUAUUGGACAAUGGGGGAAACCCUGAUCCAGCGACGCCGCGUGCGUGAAGAAGUAUUUCGGUAUGUAAAGCUCUAUCAGCAAGGAAGAAAAUGACGGUACUUGACUAAGAAGCUCCGGCUAAAUACGUGCCAGCAGCCGCGGUAAUACGUAUGGAGCAAGCGUUAUCCGGAUUUACUGGGUGUAAAGGGAGCGUAGACGGCAAAGCAAGUCUGAAGUGAAAUCCCGGGGCUCAACCCCGGAACUGCUUUGGAAACUGUUUAGCUAGAGUGCAGGAGAGGUAAGCGGAAUUCCUAGUGUAGCGGUGAAAUGCGUAGAUAUUAGGAGGAACACCAGUUGCGAAGGCGGCUUACUGGAGUGUAACUGACGUUGAGGCUCGAAAGCGUGGGGAGCAAACAGGAUUAGAUACCCUGGUA
rnacentral:rRNA from 1 species